CUUUAUAUAUAAAUGUUUGGUCUAAUACCGCAUAAUAUUUCAUUGUGACAGGUGGACAAUAAGCCUGGCAACAUUUAAAAUAGUGCAGAAAUUAUUUAUUUAGUGGCAUUUGAUACAUUCAGUGAACAUUUACAUGCAGGAAUCCAUGAUGCGCCUCAUGCUCAUGAACCUGGUGCCGCUCAUGCCCAUGUCCCUGAAGCUCCUGUACUCUCCGGGCCUCAGGUACAUCAUCCUGCCUCUGUAGUGGGGCUGCUCAUACAUCAGCCAGUGGCCGUCCAUCACGUGGCAGGACAUGCAGUCAUUCAUA